ensembl:lncRNA
UCGUUGCAGAAAACGUCACUAUUUCGCCCAAUAUUCAUUUUUCGUGAAUAUGGAAAACUUGGGCCAUAUAAUUCGAUAUAGGACUUGACAGUCCUGUCUGUCAUGUCCCAAAGAGCGGAGUUUCUGAGACUUGUGGCCCAGAUAACUUACAUUUCCUUUGUGCUUUUCCUUGAGGCAGACAGUUGGGAGUUUUUUUAGUCUCUGCUUAGAGUGAAAGUAUUUUAUAUCUCGUCCAUUUCCUCCCAUUAAGAGAUCAGGUCCUUUUAUGUGCAUAUUCGAUAUAAAGUACUCUACGCAAGAUUUAUUCAACGUUACAUUUAUAAUGAGAGCCUGUAGAGAUCGUGGGCAGUAUUCCGUAUGUCCAAUACUUUGACAUACUGUACAGGUAGUGUUAAUUCAUUGUUUGAUAUUCAUGCAGAAUGACAAGUUUACAGUCUUAUAUUUGUGGAGCAUUUUUUCUGAUCAAUGUUAAAUGCGUGGCGGUCAUUAAAACAUAUCUCGUUUAAACUCUAAAAGGUACAUUUUUUGCUGAUGCAGAACAGUGCCUUUCAACAACCUCUGCAAUGACACUAGAGUUUUUACGACCCAGGUGACACCGCGGGACAGUAUGUUCAGCGCCUACGUACUGUAGCUUCAAAAAUCAAUGAAAACAGACUUGUUCUGUAUUCCUUUCUAGAGGUCCUGUGGUCUGUUCGAGAAUGCCUACUGCUGUUAUAAGAACAAUUUAACAAACUCGUGUUUUUCAUGCGCUGCAAGCAUUAUAAGCUUUACUCAAGAUUGAGGUUUUAAAAGGUUUUUGUUUACCGGACGAAUUGAAAAUAAUCAAUCGAGAUGCAUGUGUCAAUAGCUUUUCAGUGCUUAAAUAUUGUCAUUAAAUCAACCAAGAAACACCGUUGAACAGGUCCUAUGUCAAACAAUCAAGAGGUAAAAAAACCCUAAUAUUUUAUGGUUUUAUUAGUUGGAUGCGUAGAACUGCAGAAUCUUCCUCCUAGUUCAAGGUAGCAAGAGAUCCUUGUGAAAACAAAAACAAAUUAUUCAAAAUUGAGUUGUGUGAGCCAUCACAAUCAGUGUGAAUACGUACCAUAUUUACAAGCAGACAGACCAUCAGCCACUUCACCUGUCAUGUUAUUUCUUGAAGUUGAUUCCUUUGAAUGUUGAAAUCCUUUUACAUUGUGGGUUCUAGUGUUCUCGUAUUUACCCAGUCGAUAUGGUGCAUAGAGUUUAUAGAUGACGAUUACAUGAUUGUUGCGGACAGUAGCUGGGAGUUUCUGGCACCAUGCUCAUAUGAGAUUGAAUUAUGGAUUCCAGUUCCUGGGCAUAGCUUCGUUCUAAAGUCUCCCUGAUGCUGACAGUCAAGCAACGUUAACAAAUUUGAAAAUUUCCAACUAUGAAAUGGCAGCGACUAGAUGCCGCUUCAGUUUCUCAUCUUUUGACUGGGCAGUUGGGUUGAGAGGAUGACCAACACUUGCGCUCUUGUCUUUGAGAUGACCAUCAGGUCUACUUGAGCCAUAAGAGCUGGGCGGUUGCACAGUAUACCUUGUGUAGAAUCUGACUGGCUUUCUCUUGAGGGACAGAUUCUGAGCAUCAUGUGGGCGGCUGGUUUGAACUCCAAAAAGAGUGCUACUCUGUGAAGGGUUAUUAGAGCUGGACGACACCGAACCAGUGGAUCGGGGCAGAUGGGCGGUAGGCAUGUGGUUUAUGUAAUUUGAUAGCGUGCCAACAGUGUGUUGAUAGCCCUGAGAUGAUAUGGCCGGUCUUCUGUCAUGUUCUGGUUGAGAAUCUGGGACGUAGAGUUGACCCCUCCGCGGCAUGACACGUGGAACCCGACGAUAGGAACUCAAAGGUGUGCGCAUCGGUGCAGACAGGAUUUGGUCUGAAGUCACCCUGCUUGGUACAUCUCUAGCAAGUUCUAAACCACGAGAUGGUUUUUGAGUUUCCUUUGUAGAGUCUUCAGUCGGAGAUGUAGAUUUUGGUUCUUGCCUGAUAUUCUUCUCAGAGGUCCUACUUGAAUAGUGGCUGAAAUUUUGAGAUGGCCGGUUUUGGGAGUGGACACUGGGCGCAGUCAAAUGACCACUGAGCAACGAAUCAUGUCCAAUUAAUGAGCCAUUGGGUAUUUGUCCAGGGAGCUUGUAGCUUAUUGACGGAGGAGCUUUGUUUCUCACAUGAGGAGCACUUGUGACAAUAUCGGGGUUUCCCCUAGAAAUGAGACCAUGGUCAACACCAUCGUAACGCCUUGAAACGUGCCCUGUGGCUGCUGAAUGAUCACGAGGGUAGACUGCAGAGCCUGGCCCUCGGCCUCGUUUGUCGUAGACGCUGGUAGGCGCGAGACUGUCAGCGGGGUCGAUAGCAUCACGGACAGAGACGCUUUCACUUGGCAUUUGGUAGUUUGCACCGUGUUCAAGCGCCGUACUCGUAGCUGCUCUCCGGUCUUCAUUUCCACUGGUGUCGUCAUGGGCGGUGCCUUCAUUUGCAGAUGAAGACCUAUGGCCCGUGUCGUGCUGCCUCUUCAUAUUCACCGCAUUAGAAGCAAUCUCCUUUUUAAUGGUUUCCCGAGCGGUUUGAAAAUGGCUUUCCAGGUCAUCUCCUGGCAUUAAGAAAGCGCGCUUCAUCAAUUCCACAAACCGUUUGAAAUCUUUGAUGGAUGAGAAACUGGGGCCUGCCAUAUUUUUUGCUUGUCUGUGCUCGCUCACUAAUAUGCCUAAGGGGUGUUGUUGAUCAGGACCGUCAUGCGCAUGUUUCGGUACAGGGGGAGAGGAGGGGACAUCCUGGUCCAACUCUGGUUUGCGGUUUGUCAGCUCUUCACCAAGACCAGUAGAAACACCGGCAUCCUUAUAGUUUUCAUGGUGGAAUGGUUCUCUCUGACGGAAAACAUAGCGUUGGUUUCUCAUAGCUUGCAUCUCAUCCCUUAGACUAGCAGUGUCAUGGUUUGGCUUCAAAGAAAAUGAAUGAAACUGGUUUGACGUUUGUGGAUCAAGCCCUCCUACACGGCUACUAAAUUCAUCCUCAUUGAGAUAGUAGCCAUGUGCAAUAUUGCAACC